AACAUCUUCACUGGUGUUGCAUAAGAACCCCAGGUGAGCAUAACUAAGAGGAGACCAACUUUACCAUGCAUUCAGCAGCAGCACCCACAGACCUGAGGACUAGCUGACAGGGCAAAUCCUGUAUUCCUGGUUGGAGGAGCCAGGAGAGGCCAUAGCCCAAAAUUGUCUGUGUUGCAUCCCUCUCCUCCCCUGGCUUGCCCCUCCUCCCAACCAUGCCUUCUCCCACAGAUAUAGGAGCUUUCCCUCACCCCUAGCAUACUCCAGACAUGUUUUGCACCACACGCCCAAGUAAGAAUGAUACAAUUUGAUUUGCUUCGCCUCGCCUCAACAAUUCAAUGUAUGGAUGCCAGGGGGUGACAUUGAAUUGCAUAUCUGAUACUCUGAAUAAACCCACUGAAAUAAAUGAACCUGUUAGUCAUGCCUAUUAAUUUCUUUCUUUCUUUUUUCAUGUUCAAGCGUGCUCUUUCCCCACCACAUUUAUAUAUAUGUGUGUGUGUUUGUGUCUGUGUUUGUGUUUUAACAUAUCAUUUUCAACAAUUAUUAAACAUACUUUUAUAUCUUGUUCAAUUUUUUUGACUUCAAUCAAUCACAUCUGAAAAUUUUCAAAUCUUUUCACUUAAUUUACAUUUCUUACUUUCACUAUUACAUUUAAAUAUCAUAACUAAUGUCUCUCUUCUUUCUCUUCUUUGCAAUAUUUCAUAUAUUUCUCCUUACAAAACUUCUUGUAGUCCUACUAGCGUAAUUUGUUGAUUACAGUUGCUCUUCAAAUAGUUUGUAUAUUUCUUGUCAUGCCUAUUAAUUUCAGGGGGGCCACUGACUUUUUAAAACAACAACAACAACAAAUUCCUCCUGUUAGUGCGCUUAUCGGAAGGGGGAGAAAGUUAAACUCUCAGCAUUUUACUUAACGAACUUCGUUUUUCUUACAUUGCCAAUUUCCCAGGCAUACAAAGGGAAAUUGGGGUGAGCAAUUUGUUUAGUUUCUCAAAGUGAGCAAUUUGCUUAGUUUCUUAAAGUGAAUGGUGUGGUUAUUUUCUGAAUCAAAGGGCAAGCUGCAGCCUCAGAUUCUCUUUUUUUGGAAUUUUAGAAAUAGUCACUUUCCGGCAGAAAUAUUGGAGCAGGACAUCUGCAUGACCAAAAUCUGCAAUUCUCAAUCUGAAACCCGACUUUCCGAUAUUUGAGAGGUUCCACGAUACAUGUCCUCAGCCGCCUCUGCAGCGUGAGAGUGAGCUGGCUGCCAAAUCCAUUGCUUAAUAACUCUCCUUGAAAUUUAAGCAGAAUGAGGGUCAAACUGUUGCGAAAAGGUCACUACGGAAAGAAGAUGGAAGCAGCAGUUAAACACACACAGAGUAAGAUUUAUUUUCCCCAGCAUCUUAUAGGGUACCCCCCC